rnacentral:sRNA from 1 species
AAAAAGCCUGAUAUUCUGGAUUGUUUGC